rnacentral:rRNA from 1 species
AUUGAACGCUGGCGGCAGGCCUAACACAUGCAAGUCGAGCGAACCUAGCUUGCUAGGUGAGCGGUGAACGGGUGAGUAACGCGUAGGAAUCUGCCUGGUAGUGGGGGACAACGUUCCGAAAGGAACGCUAAUACCGCAUACGCCCUAAGGGGGAAAGUGGGGGAUCUUCGGACCUCACGCUAUCAGAGGAGCCUGCGUCG